ACAAGUGGGGAAGUGACGGGGUCUCUUUUAUUUUUAUAAGAAGUUUCGUUUCCUUUUCUUUAUGUCGCUGAUGAUGAAUCAUCCGAUAUGGGGGAAAAGGCGACCGUGCCGUACAUGUCCGCCCCGAGUCCGCUCCGUGUGUAUAUGAUGUCAUGUUGCCCGCGGUUGUAAGCGUCCGCUGCUCCUCAAUUUUCUUCAUCGCACACAAACGAGAGAGACGCUUACACACAUACGGUGACUCGGCUGGAUGCAAAUCUCCAAAAAAAGUUGUACUUCUUCUUCUUAUAUAUAGUAGACUCCAGGAUAGAUAUUCUAUGCCCUAUAGAGCGACAAGGACUUGCUACGUACACAACCUACUCAGAGAGGGCAUGUGAAAAGACCGUCAAAGAUGAACAAGAAAAGAUGGCCACGGCUAACAAGGCGCAUCAGAAAAUGGGCAGACAUGUUGUACGUACAACCGAGCGGUCCUCCUCUCUUGUAUAUUUCUAUCCCGCGGCACGCCAUGCCAUUCCACGGCAAGUGGUGAAAAAAACAAAAAAACCAAAUACAAGAAACGAAGAAGAAGAAGAGGAAUGUUGAAAAUGGAAACAAAGAAGAACUGGAAGAAGAAGAGAAAUGACUCAGUCUUUGGCCAACCGACUUCCUUGGGACAGAUGGAAGAAAAAGACAAGCAAACGGCGCAAAAGUAAAAAAAAAUAGAAGAAAGACAAACAAAAAAAAGACGCGGGACAGGUGAACGUUGAACACGAACGAAUCCUGUUGUUUUUUUUGUUUGUUUUUUUUCUAUUUCCCGAGACUCUAUAAGGGUGGCUGAACAAUGGCGUCGUGACCUUCGUGUUAGGAGAUGGAGCAUAUGGUCGAAGAUCUCAAAAAGUCUCGUUUUAUUUUCUGUAUUUUUCUUUUUUUUUCUUUUUCAACAUUUCCGACGGAAGGAGACGAUCCGGGACUGGUGGGACAUGUCGGCACUCGACACUGGGAGCGCGGCGGAUUCGUUCCAGUUGACAUCCGUGGAGACCCGGUGUUACACGCAUACAAAUCCCGUCCGGCGAUUUCUCUCAACACCUAUCGUCCUAGCUAGCUGCUAGCGAACUCUCUCGGCAAUUUGGCACGCUCACUUCAACGGUUCAUCGACUGGCUAUAUGGCCGACUGCGAGAGUCUUCUACUAUCCAACACCUAUAGCAUAUAAGACGAGAGGGAGAUCUCAACAGACGAUUCAAAAGUGGAGGGUGCUGCUGCAGGAGAGAAUGAAGUGGAGGCGCGUUGUACAUCAAUUAUCCGGCCGAUAAAAAGUGAAAAUUUUCCACGGCACUUGAGGGAAUUUUUCUUUUCUUUUCUUUCUUUCUUUCCAACCCGUUAAAAGAGGAGGCUCCCAAAUGUUCCUCUCGUGUCAUACACGCAUACAGUUAGGUAAAAGACAGAAUCAUAAUUUAUACACGCCUUUUCCCUUUUCUUUCCCAUUUUCUUUUCUUCUUUGAGUCUUUCUUCUUCUUCUUUUGGCCUUUUUCUCGAAAAAGUGGCUGUCGCGGGAUGAUAUUUCUCACCUUGCACGGGCGCUUUUCAAAAUUCAUUUUGAAUGUUGAAGAUAUGGAAUACACAACAAGAGGGAGGAAACGAAGAAAAGAGUUUUUCUAUCCCUUUUCUUUGC
rnacentral:lncRNA from 1 species